rnacentral:rRNA from 1 species
CACGUAGGGGGCGAGCGUUGUCCGGAUUUAUUGGGCGUAAAGAGCUCGUAGGUGGCUCGGUAAGUCGGGUGUGAAAUUUCGAGGCUCAACCUCGAGACGCCACCUGAUACUGCUGUGGCUAGAGUCCGGUAGGGGAGCGUGGAAUUCCUGGUGUAGCGGUGAAAUGCGCAGAUAUCAGGAGGAACACCAAUUGCGAAGGCAGCUCGCUGGGACGUUACUGACGCUGAGACGCGAAAGCGUGGGGAGCAAACAGG